rnacentral:rRNA from 1 species
AUUGAACGCUGGCGGCAGGCCUAACACAUGCAAGUCGAACGAGUGGCGGACGGGUGAGUAAUGUCUGGGAAACUGCCCGAUGGAGGGGGAUAACUACUGGAAACGGUAGCUAAUACCGCAUACCAUCGGAUGUGCCCAGAUGGGAUUAGCUAGUAGGUGGGGUAACGGCUCACCUAGGCGACGAUCCCUAGCUGCUCUGAGAGGAUGACCGGCCACACGGGAAAUGAGACACGGCCCAGACUCCUACGGGAGGCAGCAGUGGGGAAUUUUGCAAAAUGGGCGCAAGUCUGACGGAGCCAGGCCGCGUGUAUGAAGAAGGUUUUCGGGUCGUAAAGUUCUUUUGGCGGGGAGGCGUUAUCUGCACAAGAAGCCCCGGCUAACUCCGUGCCAGCAGCCGCGGUAAUUC